GCAGUGGGAGCACCCUUCGGGGUGUGACUGCGUACCUUUUGUAUAAUGGGUCAGCGACUUAUAUUCUGUAGCAAGGUUAACCGUAUAGGGGAGCCGGAGGGAAACCGAGUCUUAAUUGGGCGUUAAGUUGCAGGGUAUAGACCCGAAACCCGGUGAUCUAGCCAUGGGCAGGUUGAAGGUUGGGUAACACUAACUGGAGGACCGAACCGACUAAUGUUGAAAAAUUAGCGGAUGACCUGUGGCUGGGGGUGAAAGGCCAAUCAAACCGGGAGAUAGCUGGUUCUCCCCGAAAGCUAUUUAGGUAGCGCCUCGUGAAUUCAUCUCCGGGGGUAGAGCACUGUUUCGGCUAGGGGGCCAUCCCGGCUUACCAACCCGAUGCAAACUGCGAAUACCGGAGAAUGUUAUCACGGGAGACACACGGCGGGUGCUAACGUCCGUCGUGAAGAGGGAAACAACCCAGACCGCCAGCUAAGGUCCCAAAGUCAUGGUUAAGUGGGAAACGAUGUGGGAAGGCCCAGACAGCCAGGAUGUUGGCUUAGAAGCAGCCAUCAUUUAAAGAAAGCGUAAUAGCUCACUGGUCGAGUCGGCCUGCGCGGAAGAUGUAACGGGGCUAAACCAUGCACCGAAGCUGCGGCAGCGAACGUAUCACCCAAGACAACUUUACGGAGUUGACGAUUGACGGAGCGAAGCGACGUCAAAGCGUUCAUUAAAGUCGAGUUGGCUUAGGGAUACGUUCGUUGGGUAGGGGAGCGUUCUGUAAGCCUGUGAAGGUGUGUCGUGAGGCAUGCUGGAGGUAUCAGAAGUGCGAAUGCUGACAUAAGUAACGAUAAAGCGGGUGAAAAGCCCGCUCGCCGGAAGACCAAGGGUUCCUGUCCAACGUUAAUCGGGGCAGGGUGAGUCGACCCCUAAGGCGAGGCCGAAAGGCGUAGUCGAUGGGAAACGGGUUAAUAUUCCCGUACUUGGUGUUACUGCGAAGGGGGGACGGAGAAGGCUAUGUUGGCCGGGCGACGGUUGUCCCGGUUUAAGCGUGUAGGUGUGUGUUCCAGGUAAAUCCGGUUCACUUUAACACUGAGGCGUGACGACGAGGCACUACGGUGCUGAAGCAACAAAUGCCCUGCUUCCAGGAAAAGCCUCUAAGCAUCAGGUAACAUCAAAUCGUACCCCAAACCGACACAGGUGGUCAGGUAGAGAAUACCAAGGCGCUUGAGAGAACUCGGGUGAAGGAACUAGGCAAAAUGGUGCCGUAACUUCGGGAGAAGGCACGCUGACACGUAGGUGAAGUGAUUUACUCAUGGAGCUGAAGUCAGUCGAAGAUACCAGCUGGCUGCAACUGUUUAUUAAAAACACAGCACUGUGCAAACACGAAAGUGGACGUAUACGGUGUGACGCCUGCCCGGUGCCGGAAGGUUAAUUGAUGGGGUCAGCGCAAGCGAAGCUCCUGAUCGAAGCCCCGGUAAACGGCGGCCGUAACUAUAACGGUCCUAAGGUAGCGAAAUUCCUUGUCGGGUAAGUUCCGACCUGCACGAAUGGCGUAAUGAUGGCCAGGCUGUCUCCACCCGAGACUCAGUGAAAUUGAACUCGCUGUGAAGAUGCAGUGUACCCGCGGCAAGACGGAAAGACCCCGUGAACCUUUACUAUAGCUUGACACUGAACAUUGAGCCUUGAUGUGUAGGAUAGGUGGGAGGCUUUGAAGUGUGGACGCCAGUCUGCAUGGAGCCGACCUUGAAAUACCACCCUUUAAUGUUUGAUGUUCUAACGUGGACCCGUAAUCCGGGUUGCGGACAGUGUCUGGUGGGUAGUUUGACUGGGGCGGUCUCCUCCUAAAGAGUAACGGAGGAGCACGAAGGUUGGCUAAUCCUGGUCGGACAUCAGGAGGUUAGUGCAAUGGCAUAAGCCAGCUUGACUGCGAGCGUGACGGCGCGAGCAGGUGCGAAAGCAGGUCAUAGUGAUCCGGUGGUUCUGAAUGGAAGGGCCAUCGCUCAACGGAUAAAAGGUACUCCGGGGAUAACAGGCUGAUACCGCCCAAGAGUUCAUAUCGACGGCGGUGUUUGGCACCUCGAUGUCGGCUCAUCACAUCCUGGGGCUGAAGUAGGUCCCAAGGGUAUGGCUGUUCGCCAUUUAAAGUGGUACGCGAGCUGGGUUUAGAACGUCGUGAGACAGUUCGGUCCCUAUCUGCCGU
rnacentral:rRNA from 1 species